rnacentral:rRNA from 1 species
AUUGAACGCUGGCGGCAGGCUUAACACAUGCAAGUCGAGCGGAGAUGAGGUGCUUGCACCUUAUCUUAGCGGCGGACGGGUGAGUAAUGCUUAGGAAUCUGCCUAUUAGUGGGGGACAACAUUCCGAAAGGAAUGCUAAUACCGCAUACGUCCUACGGGAGAAAGCAGGGGAUCUUCGGACCUUGCGCUAAUAGAUGAGCCUCAGUCGGAUUAGCUAGUUGGUGGGGUAAAGGCCUACCAAGGCGACGAUCUGUAGCGGGUCUGAGAGGAAGAUCCGCCACACUGGGACUGAGACACGGCCCAGACUCCUACGGGAGGCAGCAGUGGGGAAUAUUGGACAAUGGGGGGAACCCUGAUCCAGCCAUGCCGCGUGUGUGAAGAAGGCCUUAUGGUUGUAAAGCACUUUAAGCGAGGAGGAGGCUCUUUUGGUUAAUACCCAAGAUGAGUGGACGUUACUCGCAGAAUAAGCACCGGCUAACUCUGUGCCAGCAGCCGCGGUAA